GCUUGCUUUGACAGUGCAUGUUCCACAAUUGAAACAAUACAGAGAAGAUUAGCAUAGCCCCUGAUAAUUUUUUUUUCCUUACCUUAUUAAUGUUU
rnacentral:snRNA from 1 species